GAUGCACUCACAGGUCUUCCAAAUAGUGCUUUAUUAAUCAAUAUCUAUAUGCAUCCUAUUGAUUAAUAAAGCACUAUUUGGAAGACCUGUGAGUGCAUC
rnacentral:miRNA from 1 species